CUCGCCUUCUCUGCACGACUCUGUUUGUCCAUUUCCAUCUGCAAGGAGUCAUGGGUGUGUUGGCAGGCCUGACCGAUCAAGUCCAGAUUCUGCUGUCAGCAUCAGUGAGGAAAGUCUGAGAGACAAAGAGCAUCUGUGAUCGUUGAAGCGAUUAAAAAUUCUUCAUCUGCGAUGCAAGUACAACAAUAUCACUAUGAUGUUCGUGCAACACAGCGCAAAAUAUGAGGGCUGCAGCAAGAUGUAAACUCCUGCAUGAAGCACCAGGUCCACGCCAGCCUGGCAGUGUUCUGCAAGGUGCAUCAUCCCACCUCAGGCUGUGGAGCAUGCAUCACACUGAAAUGGGAUUGAAUGAAUGCACAUUUCAAGGUUGCCAAAUUAGCAUGUUAAAUGACAUUUUAUGAAGAGGUGAGGUUUUGUUUUUUUUUUCCUUUACAGUCAUAUCUGGCAAAAAGCAAUAACAACAUACAAGAUGAAAGUUAUCAUAUCUAUGAUCUAACAUCACGUGUUUUGAUUAUUACCAAGUCCUUGACAACUCAGCAACAUUGAAUAACGCAAGAAUUCUGCUCAUUAUCAAAGCUUCAUUGGAGAAUGUAGAAUUGCCUCUCUGUAAGAUGAUGACAAAGCACAACUUGGUGGUCUUGCUAGACAAUAGCCCAAAACACAAGUCGACACCGGAAUACCACAGGAAUUACACAACCAAUGACAAGGAUAUGCUGUUGUGGAACAGUUGCACCUGAGCUGUUUGGAAGAGACCAAGUUAAUGAUUACACUACUGGAGGUACUGGAACACUGCAGUCAAUGCUAAUGGCAGUGUAACCACCUGUUAUCUGCUACAGAUGAUAUUAUGCAACACCCAGUGACCCUGCAGUUAUUGCUGCAAAAGGUGGUGUAACCAGUUAGACCAACUGAGUGUUGCAUAACUUUCAUUAAUAAACAGGGUUAUGUGUUGUGCUUUCUGUUUUUUUCAUUUA